GAAACGACUGCUAAGACUGGAUAGGAAGAAAUAAGGCAUCUUAUUUCUUUUAAAAGACCUAGUAAUAGGUAUACUUUAGGAGGGGCUUGCGCCAUAUUAGUUAGUUGGUAGGGUAAUGGCCUACCAAGACGAUGAUGUGUAGCUGGACUGAGAGGUUGAACAGCCACAUUGGGACUGAGACACGGCCCAAACUCCUACGGGAGGCAGCAGUAAGGAAUUUUCGGCAAUGGAGGAAACUCUGACCGAGCAACGCCGCGUGAACGACGAAGUACUUUGGUAUGUAAAGUUCUUUUAUCAAGGAAGAAAAGCAAGUGGCGAACCAUUUGUUUGCCGGUACUUGAUGAAUAAGCCCCGGCUAAUUAUGUGCCAGCAGCCGCGGUAAGACAUAAGGGGCAAGUGUUAUCCGGAAUUAUUGGGCGUAAAGGGUGCGUAGGCGGUCUAGUAAGUCAGUGGUGUAAUGGCAACGCUCAACGUUGUCCGGCUAUUGAAACUGCUAAACUUGAGUUAGAUAGAGGCGGGUGGAAUUCCAUGUGUAGCGGUAAAAUGCGUAAAUAUAUGGAGGAACACCAGAGGCGUAGGCGGCUCGCUGGGUCUUAACUGACGCUGAGGCACGAAAGCGUGGGGAGCAAACAGGAUUGGAUACCCUGGUAGUCCACGCCGUAAACGAUGAGUACUAAGUGUCGGGUUAAACCGGUACUGAAGUUAACACAUUAAGUACUCCGCCUGAGUAGUACGUACGCAAGUAUGAAACUUAAAGGAAUUGACGGGACUCCGCACAAGCGGUGGAUCAUGUUGUUUAAUUCGAAGAUACCCGAAAAACCUUACCAGGUCUUGACAUGUUUUUGCGAAACGGUAGUAAUAUCGUAGAGGUUAUCAGAAACACAGGUGGUGCGUGGUUGUCGUCAGCUCGUGUCGUGAGAUGUUAGGUUAAGUCCUAAAACGAGCGAAACCCUUAUCGUUAGUUGCCAGCACGUUAUGGUGGGGACUUUAACGAGACUGCCAGUGAUAAACUGGAGGAAGGUGAGGAUCACGUCAAAUCAGCAUGCCCCUUAUGACCUGGGCUACAAACGUGAUACAAUGGCUGUUACAAAGGGUAGCUGAAACGUAAGUUCUUGGCCAAUCCCCAAAAACAGUCUCAGUCCGGAUUGAAGUCUGCAACUCGACUUCAUGAAGUUGGAAUCGCUAGUAAUCGCGAAUCAGCAUGUCGCGGUGAAUACGUUCUCGGGGUUUGUACACACCGCCCGUCA
rnacentral:rRNA from 1 species